rnacentral:rRNA from 1 species
CGGGGUGAGUAACGCGUGAGGAACCUGCCUUGAAGAGGGGGACAACAGUUGGAAACGACUGCUAAUACCGCAUAAGCCCACGGUGCCGCAUGGCACAGAGGGAAAAGGAGCAAUCCGCUUUGAGAUGGCCUCGCGUCCGAUUAGCUAGUUGGUGAGGUAAUGGCCCACCAAGGCGACGAUCGGUAGCCGGACUGAGAGGUUGAACGGCCACAUUGGGACUGAGACACGGCCCAG